UACGAGGGGGGCAAGCGUUGUUCGGAAUUAUUGGGCGUAAAGGGUGCGUAGGCGGUCUGAUAAGUCAUCUGUGAAAUCUAUGGGCUCAACCCAUAGUCUGCAGGCGAAACUGUCGGGCUUGAGUAUGGGAGAGGUGAGUGGAAUUUCCGGUGUAGCGGUGAAAUGCGUAGAUAUCGGAAGGAACACCUGUGGCGAAAGCGGCUCACUGGACCAUUACUGACGCUGAUGCACAAAAAGCUAGGGGAGCAAACAGG
rnacentral:rRNA from 1 species